CUUGACCGAACCCAGCAGGACCGGGCUCUCCCGGUCCUGACCAUAGGUCGCGAGCAGCGACUGCGCCUC
rfam:Actinophytocola xinjiangensis strain CGMCC 4.4663 contig29, whole genome shotgun sequence.